GUGAUGUGUUUAUUGAUCUUACUUAACUGAACAUUCUUGCUUCUUUUAAUUAUCUCAAUUUAUAAUGAACUUGGCCCAUUUAAUAGUAAAAGAGGAAAAUAUUUUGUUAAAAUUUACAAAAAUAUUAAAAAUUGACUAUAAAGGGCAAUAACUCCUUAAGGGGUCAACUGACCUUUUUGGUCAUGUUGACUUAUUUGUGGAUCUUACUUUGCUGAACAUUAUUGCUGUUUACAGUUUAUCUAUAUCUAUAAUAAUAUUCAAGAUAUUAACCAAAAACAGCAAAAUGUCCGUAAAAAUUUCCAAUUCAGGGGCAGCAACCCAACAAACAG
rnacentral:lncRNA from 1 species